rnacentral:rRNA from 1 species
GCGGAGGAAAAGAAACCAACAGGGAUUGCCUCAGUAACGGCGAGUGAAGCGGCAACAGCUCAAAUUUAAAAUCUGGCCCCCUCGGGGCCCGAGUUGUAAUUUGGAGAGGAUGCUUCGGCUGCGACCCCGGUCUAAGUUCCUUGGAACAGGACGUCACAGAGGGUGAGAACCCCGUAUGUGGCCAGGUGUCAACGCCAUGUGAAGCUCCUUCGACGAGUCGAGUUGUUUGGGAAUGCAGCUCUAAAUGGGAGGUAUAUUUCUUCUAAGGCUAAAUACCGGCGAGAGACCGAUAGCGCACAAGUAGAGUGAUCGAAAGAUGAAAAGCACUUUGGAAAGAGAGUUAAAAAGUACGUGAAAUUGUUGAAAGGGAAGCGCUUGCAACCAGAUUUGGACGCAGUGUUUAGCCUGGCUUCCUGCCCGGUGCACUCUUCUGCGUCCAGGCCAGCAUCGGUUUGGGCGGCCAGAUAAAGACCGCAGGAAUGUAGCUCCUUCCGGGGAGUGUUAUAGCCUGCGGUGGAAUGUGGCCAGCCUAGACCGAGGUCCGCGCUUCGGCCCC